rnacentral:ncRNA from 1 species
UUUGAACCGAUAAUGGAGAAGAGUAGGUCAGAAUGCAUGGAGAAGAGAGGAACCGUCCCGGGCUGAAAGCGGAUCCGCACUGCAUCUUUCUCGAAACAACACUCCGGAGGUUUCCUGCUGAACGCUUUUGCAUGAUGAUGCACCGGUCAUUAGGCAGCGGACGUGAACCUGCGUUAAAGGCCAGAGCGGGAAUGCUGAGGCGUUCCAACUAGGGUGGCACCACGGGUAUAACUCUCGUCCCUACU